UUGGCCUCGUGUCCACUUACUAAGUUCAGACGAGUUGACUGUGCUUCUCACUUGGAGAGGAAGCAGUGGCUGUGGCUCCUGUGGACCUGUCCCACCACGCUGUGACUCGGUCCCAACAGGGUCAAGAGAGGAAAGGACAUCCUCCAGCCAAAGAAAAUCAGCCUGCUUAUUGUCGGGAGAAAGGCCACUGGAGAAAGGGGACCAGGGAGAUGAAACCUCCUCCCAACAGACAAGUGGAAACCAGACCCCGGACUCGGGUGACGGUGAAGGGGCCCAGGGAUCCAUUUGACCUCGACAGUUCCUGAUCCGAUUUCCCCACAGGAACCCCAGGGUCAGAGGUAACACGAAAAGCUGAUUUGCAGAACCCAAGGCAUCCUGUCCCAGGGUACUGAGGCAGACUGAUAAGAAAAACAAAAAGCAACUCAAUCAGCUCAAGAAUGCCUGCUCUGAUCCUUACAAGGUGCUCCUUUAUGUAUCUGGGGUCAUGAACGCCACAGCCUCUCUCCCAGGACUUCCCCUUUAAAAGCCCUGUUUGUGCCUCGGGCCGACAGUGGUUCUCCAAGGCAUGGGUCUGCCACAGCUGCAUUUGUUGGCAAAUUAAUGAACUAUUCCUUUCCUUUCCUCAACGCCUUGUCAUUGUGUUUUGUGUUUUGACUUUGGUGACAAGGACCAGUUUUCAGUAACAUCCCCACCACACAGGUGAAGAACAAGAACACUGCCAUCACCCCGGAAGGCUUCUGUGGGCCUCACCCUGCUCACAUUCCCAAGAGGACAAUCCUGCCCUUGAUAUACCUUCCAUUUGCCACUAUGAACUAAUCUAUGAAGUAUAUAUUUUGGAUUUCUAGUGAUAGGGAAAGAUUUACAAGGACAGC